UUUAAUUUCUUUCGAUAAAAUUUACACAUUAUCUUCGAUUAUUCAAUAUAAGUAAAAAAGUCAAUGCUGGCAACCUUGUGUAGCAAUAUGGCAUUCCCACGACAGCCCAAUUACGUGUUUCGCUCUCUCAAGUACGACUGCAAAUUACCUCCAUUCACGUGGCACGCAGUUUGACAGUUUUCGGUUUCGCUUGUUUGUUCCAUUUGAAAACGUAUGAAAAUGAAAGAUUUUAGUAAAAGUUAACAAAUUCUUGAAUUGAAUUGAUAAUGUAAUGCCAGUUUCCUUAAUAAUUUCAAUUUUUUCUCCUUUAAUAUACAAAAAGCCAUUGGUUUCAAAUCAAUGAAAAUCUUCUUUUAUGGUUCUCCUCUCUUUUGUUUUGAUUUGCCAGCUGGUUUCGAUAAAAUUUCUAUAAGAAGUAGAGAAGGCAUCGAUUUGGUCGUAAUGCGCAUGGAAAUUAAGAAUGAAUUACCUACUUUUACUGCAAUUCGCUCACGUAAAUAUGUAAGGCGAAUUAAAUAGAUCGGCAUGUAUUUGGGGUGCGAAUUACGAUUAAGAGAGUGAAACUCGUAAUUGGGCUGACGUGGAAAUGACGUAUAACGGCAUGGGCAAGUGGUGACAACUUUGUGUUUACAUGGCGCUCGCAUUAGAUAUGUUGCUAUGAACGGAAGGUAUGUCAGAAGGGUUGUAUCAAAAUUUGUUACCGUACCAUCAGGAGAUGACUACCUCUCGUCCUGAUUCUAUUUAUGUUAUUCAGAUCUAUCUUCGGUAAUAAGGAAUUCAAAUUUCUUUUUAUAUGCCGAUGAUGUGAAAAUUUGGGUCGACUUCACGAGGGUGCGCCAAGAUUUGAAAAAACUUACUUUUAGGGAGUAAACAAGGUCAUACACAUCACAAAAAUAUAUGCCAAGUUUUCGAGUAAUUUAUUGAUUAAAUUUUUUUUUGACCAACGGAAAUUCUCGAAUAAACGCUAAUAAACGAUUUUGUUUAGUUAGUUUUAUCAAAACAAAAAAAAUGUGUUCUCACGUUUGUUUGCUUGAGUAAAUUAAGUAUACAUGUCCCUUUCCAACUUACAAAGGUGCUUUACUUUAGAAUACUGUGCAAGGCAAAGCCGGUCUUUUACAUACAAAGGUGUUUCACAGUAUUGUAGCAGAAGCUCGGCCGAAAAUCGCUUGAGCGGUACUAAGGUGCCAAAUAUAUACAUAUAUUGCAAUCGAAAAUAAGUGACACUUCAAACACUAACAUCAAUAAACAGCCAGUGGAAAUACUUGACAGUUCUCGUAAACUCAAAACCUUCAAACUCAAACAAGUAAAAAAGAAGAGUGGGAGAAUGUCAACACAAAGAUAUGGGCUUGAAAAAUCUAAUGCAUGAAAUGGAGAUGAGCACGCGGCCAAGUAAAGAGUGAAUGCCAGCAGAAAGUCCAAAUUGUAAAGGAGAAGGCCGUCAUGUAACAGUUUAAAGUUUAUAUCUGGCAUGGAGUAUGGGCAAAUAAAGAUGACCAGAGCUACCGAAACCUGAUAGUAUUUUUGAAGUUGAGAAUACCGGAAAUUCCACAUUCCAUUAUGGUCCCAAUAGAGGACACCUGGGGACAGCGGUAACCAAAGAAAUAAUAUCGAAUCGGCGGUAUUCCCACUCCGCCGUGUAUCGAAUACAGACUCUUGGGAGACCUAUAAGCAAGAUAAAAGGUGUCCGCUUAAGAGAUGUCCGAUCGCGACAACCGAAGGUAGGUUGAGAGAGGAGCAUAAGUACCGAAUAGGAAUGACAGAUGAAAGAUAGUUAUCAUUAACUGCAUCCUGAAUGUUUUUACUGAGAAAAUAACAUAAGAUUUAAUUAGCGAUAUGAACUGCAGUGCUUAGUUAGAAAGUAAACUGAAAGUAUACUGUGAAAGAUUUAUAUGCAGAGUUACGGUGUAAUUAGGAAAUCAGAGCGGAACACACCCUUUUUUAUUUUGUUCUACCUUAACGGUCUGUAUUCUGCACUUGUUCCGUAAUUUUAAGCAAAUAGUAAAUAAUUGAGUAAUAAACGGUCUACUAAAUUAUGUUACUUUAAUACAACAACCCAGUGAAAGAAGUCCAACGAUUUGGUAGAUCAUCGGGACUCUUUUAGCAAACCCGCGUUGAACAGCAAGCUGUACAACAUGUUGAGCCCUUUAUAAUUAACAUUAUAUCCAAUUUUUUCUUUGUAAGAAUAUUGUGAGAAGCAGCAAAAAUAAGCCACAUAGUAGCAUUGAUAAUGAUGGAUGAAAUUUUUUAUGACGAGGAAACACAAAACUUCAAGAAAAAACAGAAGACAACUGGAAGAAAAUGAUGGUGUUAAUAGUGGUACCUAAAAAUAAAUGCAUUUUCCACUAGGAAAUGGAUUUUAAAAACUACUGCGGAUGAAGGACAGUAUUUCAACAGUGGUAUGGAAGCCUUAUGGCCUUUAUUAAACCAGAAAACAUGUUUAUGCGAGAAGCUUCGCCCACUAAAAAUCAAAAUAUUUUGAUAUAUGAUAAACGGUAGUAACACUACAUCGCCAAGCUACACACAAUGCAAUAUACUGCGUAGCACGCUGUAUCGUGUGUACUUUGCAUUACAGUAUUCAGCCCUGAUAAAUGGGCAGUGCGUAACACUUUAGUCCUUUAUAAGGCCCCUAUUAUAGAAUUGUAAGUCUAUUAAGUGAUAAAUAUUAAUUUGUGCUACGAUUUGUGUGAAAUUGGUGCUAUAUCUUCAUUUAAAGGUUGAAAAUGCUUUGUCAAGUCACAAUUUGGAAUUUGCUCCAAUGCGAAGUUUGGUCGAAUUUACGUUCGGUUCUGCUCGCUUUCAAAUACCAAAUUAACUUUCAUACAUGCUUCUCUAAGGUUAAGGAAUAUUAAAAAUAAAAUGGUAAAUACGAUGGAGAGCUUCAAUCCUUCAACACCAAUGGGAGUAUUUUUAGACAUAUUGAACAUAUCAAUGGAUAGCUAAAUGAAUUCAGCAUCUGUUAAAAUAUUUUAAAACUUAUAUACAUAGUAUUUUCAUGCAAAUAUAAUUUAAGCCAAAAUUUAUAGCUAUGAAAUACAUUUAAAAAAUUCUUGUAUAGCAUAUAUAUGCAGCUCUGAAACUUUGAGCUUGAAUUAAUGUGUGUUUGUUGUAAAUAAAAGAAGCAUACAAAUUUAAGCUUUGCCUUUGUGCUGAUAAAAAUAUUGUAUUUUUAAAUUCAGUUUUAUGAACUACAGGUUCUUCUAAGUAAUGAUUUUAUACGUCUUCUUCUUAAUCUGCUAACCGAUAAAAACAAGUGAAGCUACGUUGUUCUCCACCUGAUCGGGUGAGUUCCAAAACGUCAGUUGCAAAGCAACCAUACAUUGUCACGCUUUCCUAAAUGCAGUAGAGCAAACCAUGAUAAUGUAUCAUGUUCCAAAAUGCGUCGGCAAUGUUAUUGAUGCGCAGACAAAAGUAAACUGCCCAUCGCUAAGGUUUGUGAUGCUUUGUUUUAUGAUAAAUUCUUAACGGUCGACGGCGGAGAGCAAGUUAUUUGCGCUAAUUAUUUUUUUUAACUUCAUAUUACUUGUCUUUUUUAUCUGUUUCGUAUUUUAGCCAUUUCACCGAAAAGCAACUUAUUUGCACGAAAAGCGUUCCAAAAUGUCAGAGUUUGCGAAGUAUUGUUGGAAAGCAAAUCUAUAGAAUACAGGGUUGCAUUGUUUCACAACCGCAUCAAUAUAAGGUAGUUGGAUGUUUCAGAACUCGCCCAUCCUUAUACAGUCAAAGAUAAAAGUUUAAAUACAUCUAUAAGAUUCAACUUUUUAUUAAUUUUAAGCAUUUUAGAGUAAGUGUACGAAUGCUGUUUAAUUGAAGUGUAUAACUAAUCAAUAAUGCAAUCCAAAAAAAUAUUCCACGUCGCUUAAAUCACUUAAAACCAUGCGGGACAAAAGUUUAAAUACAACACAUAUUAUUUCUUGUUUCGACCAAAUUAAACUCAAAAUAAAGGUGUUUAAAACAAUUAUAAUAUUUUGUUGGCCCACCUCAUGGUUCUAUAACUACCUUUAGAUGACGUGGGGGUAAAUGUAACCAAAUUUUCUAUUUCCGAUGACGCAAUCUAAGACUAUGCCUUUUUCAGAUAUUCUUCCAAGACUUAUUUGCUGGUUGAAGCCGCCAUAGCAAUUUUUCGUGCCAAUAACUCCCAAAUCUGCUCAUUGGGGUUCAAGUCUGAUGAUUUCGGCGGACUAUAAAGCUGACGAGGAGCAUAAUGCAAUAGUCAUUCCUUCCCCAAGCCCGCUGUUUGGUAAGGUCCGUUAUCUUGUUGAAUUAUCUACGAACUUCCGAGACCCAAUGAAUCCAUGCAACAAGGGUCUUUCUCCAGUGGAAAAUUUAUUACUUGUUCUGAUGGAAACUGAAGGGAAGCCAAAAAAGUAGUACAAAAUUGUUCAAAAACAAAUGAAGGCUUCGAGGCCGAAUUCAAAUACCUCUGCCAUAGAUACGAAAGUAAGUUUCAGUUAGUUAAGGCACAAUUUAAAAUUUUAUUUAGUCUGUCGCCCAUUUAGGAAAAUGAUUGCAAUUCUCUGAAGCAAUUACAGUGAAAAAUAAAUAAUUGCGUGUCAUUUUUAAAGAACCAUAAAAUUGGUUGUUUCAAUAGUGACAUACUUUUGCACAUUUAAAAUACCAGAUGACAAUAAAGCCCUAUGGGACUGUACUGAGAUUCCAACCUAGGAGGAGCUUGAUGGCUUCCUGACAAGCCGGUUCAGGCCAUCGAAGCAGUGGCACAAAAAACGAUUCAAAGAACGCAUAGCCGCUUAAGCCGCAUGCCAAUAAAUAUUGUCAUAAUCAAGAGACCCGCCGUAAAAGGCUUGCCUCAUAUCAAGUGAGUGUCCUCAAACCAAACUAUCCUAUGUGUGACACCAGCAUAAAUUUUGCUAUUGCUCAGACUUUGGAAAAUUACUUCAAAAGAACGAUUGAAGAUAGUUAAACGUCAUCAAGUAUGUAUAAACUGCGCUUAUUGCCAUUUACGCAUCACACUCUUCUACAUAUAUAACCUAUGAUUUAGAAGACAAUUGAUAAAAAAACUACAAACCACCAGAGACGACAUGCCAUGCACAUCCGCAUAAGCACGUGAGAACCUAAACCCGCGGAAAUCAAAUAAUGUGCAAUCCUGCAAUCCAUGCUUGGGCAAACUCAGGAACUUUGUUGGGUUUUCGAGUUCUCUUAAAUGCAGGAGGUACCAACUAUUCAGAAUACUAAUUUAUCACCGAAUCACAUAAACGGUACAAGCAUGUUUUGUUCAACUUUGCUCACCAAUCAAUCAUCUGCUUAAUAUGAACGCCUAUCUUUUAAUUUGACCGCGACUAACUGAAGAUCUCCCUUUUCCUCAAAUCAGCGCAAAGACAGUUCAAGUAUUUCUAGACUUAGCUCUGGCGGUUUAACGGUAUCUACAUGAGUACAGAGGAAAGACGCUGUCAGUAUACCUCUCGCAAAAACCCGAGUAGCCCCAGUCAAGACAAUAUCUGUACUAAGUCUUGAACUUCGCCGGGCAGUAUUGCUAGCUGAAUUUAUAGAAUUAUUAAUAAUCAACCGUAGCUUAGCUGAUACAAAAAUUCGUUUAUGGACGGAUUCAACCACUUUGCUGGCAUAGACACUCAAGCCUACGUGUUCAUCGUCAACUUUCGUCGCACAUAGAAUCACAAAGAUUGUUAAAAAGGUUGGAAAUAAGACCUGGUAAUAUGUCGACUCAGCAACUUAUCCAGCGGAUCUAGCUAUCAGACGACUUUCAGCAUCCGAUUUAAUAAAGACUAGCCUGUGGUGAAAAGGAUCUACAUGGCUUGAAAGGGAUCCGUCGAAAUAGCAUAAGCAGAAAAUAAUAAUAACGGUGUUAUGAGGACGCAUCACGUGAUCUCGCGUAUAGCGACCGUCAUCCAAUAAUACUAUCCAACAAUUGCAGAUUGUCACGUCUGAUUGUCCAUUUCAUCCAUGAAAUCUCCUUACAUGCAGAUGAUGUUACACCUCAUUCGAACGCCCUUUUGGAUUGCACAGAUAUAGAGCAUGGAUCGGAUCCAUUAUAUAUAAUUGUAGAGCCUUUACCAAUAUUGGUGUCGGUGUUGCAGGUCCGUUUGAAAUUAAAAGCUACAGCGACAGAGGUUGUCGAAUCUCCUAGUCUGCCUAUUUGUUUGCUUUUCAACAACGCCACCCGUUUGGAAGCAAUUAGUGAAUUGAGCACUCAAUAAUUUCUGUCAGCAUUUUCCAUGUUUGUCUGUGGGCGACGGUGUCCAUUUCGAUAACGGCACCAACUUUGUAGAAGUCUCACUAUCACUAAGACUCAGCCUUUAUUGCAGAUGCUCGUGAUAGCAUCGUUUCCAAAUAUGCGUUUCAAGAAUUAAAUUGGCGUUUUAUUCCAGCUUCAGCUUCUGAUAUGGAAGGACUGCGGGCAGCUUGAGUAAAAAGUUUUAAAAAUCAUUUUAAGAAAAUCACAUCGAGUUUUAAGUUUACGUUUGAGAAGCUAAGUACGUUGUUGUGCUGAGCUGAGAUAUGUCUCAACUCGCGACCACACUAUCCUUCCUCAAAUAACGCAACUGACUUUGAACUAUUGCCUGGAGUCAGCCAGUUUCUGGUUGGUGGACAUUUGUUAGUACCACCGGAUCCUAGUGUCAACGAAAAAUCAGUUGUUAAUAGGUAGCAGAUGCUAAAGGCUUUACACCACUCGUUUUGCAGAUGAUGGAAAAAUAAAUAUUCAAUGGAGAUGCAAAACCGCAUCAAAUGGAUACACCCACAACAUUUAAUUACAGGAGACUUAUUGUUUAUCAAGGAAGCUAACCUGCCACCUAACGAAUGGCGACUGGGAAGAAUCCUCCAAUUCCAGCCAGUGGAUCUUUGGACUGAAAGAGGACAAAUAACAAGAUCCCUUGUCAAAUAUCACACCUAAACCAAUACAAAAGCUUAACUAAAAUCACCUAAAACAAAUCUAUAAAUGAAAAAUCAAUAAAAUAAACAGAAAAAGAACACCACGAUUAUAUACAUAUACAAAUGUAAAUAUAAAGAUAACAGAAGCCAAGAAAUUUGACUCACCAUUGUCGUACGACUGUUCUGAGGAUCCACUUCAUUAUUAUGUGUUCUACUGUUUGAAUAUUUUUACAGAGCAGUACCCAAAUUAAAGUUAAAUGACGCAUUAUGGAAAAAUCAGCUUUUUGUCAAUUAUAAAUCAAAAUAUACACACUCACACCACCAUGACCACAAAUGGCGCAUUUUCAACAGUACGAAGCACAUUUUAAACCUUAUUAAAAUCAACAUUCCUUAUUACUACAUAUGUGUUACGUAUAUUAAUUUGGAUUUUCGCUUAUAACUAUACAUGUUUAUGAUUGUACAUUUAUACUUUAAAUCAAAUUCGCCACUAUUAAAAUGCACUUUUCAGCAGAUUUUAUUGAUGUCAGUUUCUGCUGAGUUGGUGCCUGGCUAGCGAGAUGUCUGCAAGCAUUUCACCCAGGUCCAAAUAACAACGCUCUACGUCAGAUUUCAAAUCGCUUGAAUACUUGUAUAAGAAUAAUUUAAUUUCCAGGUUUAGGUCAUAGACAGAACAGUGAACUUCUUUUCCGGGGUAGUGUAAAACGUCGAUUUGUCGAAGGCCAGCAUUUUUACUAGGAAAGCCGCUGUCUAUAAAUAUGAAUGUGUCAUUAGUUCUGGGCGAGUGGUGUUUGUAUCGUAGUAGUAAUAUAUAUACAAUACUUGUUUGGAAUGACGAAUGUUCACUUAUGUUUAAUUCUUCAGCAUUAAAUUAAA
rnacentral:misc_RNA from 1 species